rnacentral:rRNA from 1 species
CCUACGGGAGGCAGCAGUGAGGAAUAUUGGUCAAUGGGCGUAAGCCUGAACCAACCAAGCCGCGUGAGGGAUGAAGGUUCUAUGGAUCGUAAACCUCUUUUAUAAGGGAAUAAAGUGUGGGACGUGUCCCGUUUUGUAUGUACCUUAUGAAUAAGGAUCGGCUAACUCCGUGCCAGCAGCCGCGGUAAUACGGAGGAUGCGAGCGUUAUCCGGAUUUAUUGGGUUUAAAGGGUGCGUAGGCGGCCUGUUAAGUCAGCGGUGAAAGGCUGUGGCUCAACCAUAGAAUGGCCGUUGAAACUGGGAGGCUUGAGUAUGUUAGAGGCAGGCGGAAUGCGUGGUGUAGCGGUGAAAUGCUUAGAUAUCACGCAGAACCCCGAUUGCGAAGGCAGCCUGCCGGGCCAUGACUGACGCUGAGGCACGAAAGCGUGGGGAUCAAACAGGAUUAGAUACCCCUGUAGUC